AGAACGAACGCUGGCGGCAUGCCUAAUACAUGCAAGUCGAACGAACUCUUCGGAGUUAGUGGCGCACGGGUGCGUAACGCGUGGGAAUCUGCCCCUUGGUUCGGAAUAACAGUUGGAAACGACUGCUAAUACCGGAUGAUGACGAAAGUCCAAAGAUUUAUCGCCAAGGGAUGAGCCCGCGUAGGAUUAGCUAGUUGGUGAGGUAAAGGCUCACCAAGGCAACGAUCCUUAGCUGGUCUGAGAGGAUGAUCAGCCACACUGGGACUGAGACACGGCCCAGACUCCUACGGGAGCAGCAGUAGGGAAUAUGGACAAUGGGCGAAAGCCUGAUCCAGCAAUGCCGCGUGAGUGAUGAAGGCCUUAGGUUGUAAAGCUCUUUACCGAGAUGAUAAUGACAGUAUCGGAGAAUAAGCCCCGAUAACCGUCCGUCG
rnacentral:rRNA from 1 species